GACGAACGCUGGCGGCAUGCUUAACACAUGCAAGUCGAACGGGAACGCCGUGCUUUGUUGCGGUGCUGGAGGGGAGGAGGGGUAAGUAACACGUAGGUAACGUACACUUCACUUUGGGGGAAGUUAAGGAAGGUGAAGGUAAUCGCGGAUAGGAGCUACUGCUUCAGGGUGGGGGUGGGAUGGUUUAGGCGGUUGGGGAUGGACUAGCGGAUUAUGAGGUUGUUGGUGGGGUAGUGGCAUACCAAGCCUUGGACGCGUAGCCUGCCUGGGAGGGGGACAGGCCACAUUGGGACUGGGAUACGGCCCAGACUCCUACGGUAGGCAACGGUGGCGAAUAUUGCACAAUGGGCUGGAGCCUGAUCCAGCACCGCCGCGUGCGGGAAGACGUCCUUCGGGUUGGGAUCCGCUUUCGCUUUUGACGAAGCGUUAGUGACGGUACCGGGUGAAUAAGCACCGGCUAACUACGUG
rnacentral:rRNA from 1 species